rnacentral:lncRNA from 1 species
GUAUGCGAUCAGAAGAAGGAGCCAGGAGAGCUCAAACCCUAGUUCAACAAAUCCUCCAAAUCGAAGCUCAAAUCAAGCCCGAAUCGUCUGCAUGAUUACAAAUUCGUGAUCGCCUAGUCGUGGGGAUCAUAAGCUGACUCUAAACAAGCUAGGUGGGAGCUUGAAAAGGAACGGGUCAAACGGAUCAUGGAUGCGAAGAAUGUUUGCGCGGACGCGUGGGUAAAACGGCUUAUGGAAUUUACGUGGCUAUGAAUCAGCAAAUUAUUAAGGCAAGGUAUUAAAACGGGUCAAUACUUUGACCCGCGCCAGGUACAUUUUGGAUGCCAGAAGACGAUCAAGCUCGACGAAGGACCGAACACGAUAUAGAUACAUGCUUCCGCACUUUAACACUUUGCAAAUUUUAAACAACGAAUUCAACCACGUUAUGUAGAAUAACUUAUGAAUUGUAAAAGUUUUAAUAAAUUCGUAUUUUUAUAGUAUGUGUAGGCUUAACUACACAUCUAAUUGUUGGCGUUUACAUAUAAAAUUGUUAAUUAGUAACUAGGGUGUUACAAGUUGGUAUCAGAGCCCUGGUUUAAGAGAUUCAAGUAUGGUGGGGAAAACCAUGCUUGGACUUAAACCUUAUGCUCUUGACAAAGAUUGGUGUUCGGUUCGAGGCUUGAUCGCAAAAUCCGGUAAGUACAUCUAUGCUAAUAGUUUAGCAUGCUAAAGUGUUGUAAACAACACAUGGGGUUAUCGUGUGAUACACGUUACCUCAAUUAAGCGAUAAAUGUAGUUGACAAAGUUACGCGUGUUGACACAUAUAGUACAAAAGUCUUGUAUUAUGAUACGGGCAUUUAGUAAAGUUGACAUUACUAACUUUUGUGAAUGUCUUGAUUGAAGGACACUUGCGUUUAAAGAUGACAAAGGUUAAACAAAUUAAAGAUGUGAUAGAGGAACAGUCCGAGGCAUGACGAGAGGAACAUGCUCACUAAGGACUAAAUCGCGUAAAGACCGCGAACAAGGUUAAUGGCAAGAAACGCCCGUCGGGGCAAGCAUUAUCAGGUGCGUGCUUUUAAAUAUAAUUAGCAAUGUGCAACAAACAUGUAAAGAAUGAUUGUCGCAUAUGUAAAUUAGAAACUUGGGAAACCUGAAUAGAAUGCCUAUCCAGGAUAUUAUCUCCAAGAAAACUAAAUAGAGGUGUUACUUACAUGGGGUGUGAUGUGAAAACUAUAAAAAGGUCGUGUAUGUCAUGUGUUAAUCGCUUACUCUGGCCAAGUAAGUAGUGGCAUAUGAUACCAUGAGUUUCUUAUAGCAGAGACAUUAUAUCUGAUGGAGUAAGGACGGGGUAAAUGGGACAAAUUAAAAGUACCCAAAAGAAUCAAGUGAGCAAAAUAUUUGAUAAUAAUGUAAACGCACAGCCGAGUGACGGAAGCGUAUUACAUUAAGAUAAUGAGCCCGAGUGAAGGGACAAAGAAACACGUAAGAUGAUCAGAAUACGUAUUGGGAGGAGGUGUACUUACACUCGAACCCGGAAAAUGCAAACAUGUAAAAUGAUGUAGACAUGUAUUGGGAGGGGGUGUACUUACACUCGAACCCGAAGAAUAUAAACAUGUAAAAUGAUCAAGAUAUGCAUUGGGAGGUAGUGUACUUACACUCAAACCCGAAGAAUGCAAAUAAGACUCUUAACGGGCCGAUUUUGUAAAACACCAAAUUUGAGAACAAAGUAGGAAUAUAAAAGCGAAACAAAGUCAUAAUGCAUACCGUAAGGGUUGCAAUAAUAACGACUUCGGUAAAACACCCGGUUGGUGGGUAAGGAUUUAAACACAUGCGUAGACUGAGAAACAGGAACGCGCAUGGAAAGUCAAAAGACUCGGGUUUUGGGUCAUGACCAAAGGACGAUAAGAUAACGGCAAAUAGAAAUUUUGAUGAAUUACGCUCAACUAUUUUAAAGUUGAACGGGUCGAACAAAGAUUGAAGUUUGACAUCUAUAAGUGAUGAAAUUUUCACACGAACAAGUC